UGUGGGACCUGGGUCUUGUGG
rnacentral:miRNA from 1 species